rnacentral:lncRNA from 1 species
AUGGGAAGAUUACCAGGGUGGCAGAAUAGGAGUCUCACUAGUAGUAGUAUUAAGCGGGCAGCGGUAGGGCAAGUGAAACAUUAUAUCUUUGUCAGGCUUAAGCUAAAGGGCAUUAGAGAAAGACAGUUCUUGUUUCCGGGCAUAUCGAUGGGAAUAAGAGCAGCCCUUUCACCAAUAAGCGAUUGGCGGAUGGUGCUAGACCCGUCAGACUCGCUAUCGACUACUCAGAAAGAAAGACUAAAGCAAAAGAAUGGAUUAAGGUGA